rnacentral:rRNA from 1 species
UACGAGGGGGGCGAGCGUUGUUCGGAAUUAUUGGGCGUAAAGGGUGCGUAGGCGGCCUGACAAGUCUGAUGUGAAAUCCCUGGGCUCAACCCAGGGCCUGCAUCGGAAACUGUCGGGCUUGAGUAUGGGAGAGGUGAGUGGAAUUUCCGGUGUAGCGGUGAAAUGCGUAGAUAUCGGAAGGAACACCAGUGGCGAAGGCGGCUCCCUGGACUCAUACUGACGCUGAGGCGCGAAAGCGUGGGGAGCAAACAGG